rnacentral:rRNA from 1 species
GACGAACGCUGGCGGCGUGCCUAAUACAUGCAAGUAGAACGCUGAAGGAAGGAGCUUGCUCUUUCUGGAUGAGUUGCGAACGGGUGAGUAACGCGUAGGUAACCUGCCUGGUAGCGGGGGAUAACUAUUGGAAACGAUAGCUAAUACCGCAUAAAAUUGAUUAUUGCAUGAUAGUCAAUUAAAAGGUGCAACUGCACCACUACCAGAUGGACCUGCGUUGUAUUAGCUAGUUGGUGGGGUAACGGCUCACCAAGGCGACGAUACAUAGCCGACCUGAGAGGGUGAUCGGCCACGCUGGGACUGGGACACGGCCCAGACUCCUACGGGAGGCAGCAGUAGGGAAUCUUCGGCAAUGGACGGAAGUCUGACCGAGCAACGCCGCGUGAGUGAAGAAGGUUUUCGGAUCGUAAAGCUCUGUUGUAAGAGAAGAACGAGUGUGAGAGUGGAAAGUUCACACUGUGACGGUAUCUUACCAGAAAGGGACGGCUAACUACGUG